rnacentral:misc_RNA from 1 species
UUUAUAUCUAAUUAGUGUUUU